GGCAGCAGCCGCGGUAACACCGGCGGCCCGAGUGGUGAUCGUGAUUAUUGGGUCUAAAGGGUCCGUAGCCGGUUUGGUCAGUCCUCCGGGAAAUCUGAUAGCUCAACUAUUAGGCUUUCGGGGGAUACUGCCAGACUUGGAACCGGGAGAGGUAAGAGGUACUACAGGGGUAGGAGUGAAAUCUUGUAAUCCCUGUGGGACCACCUGUGGCGAAGGCGUCUUACCAGAACGGGUUCGACGGUGAGGGACGAAAGCUGGGGGCACGAACCGGAUUAGAUACCCGGGUAGUCCCAGCCGUAAACGAUGCUCGCUAGGUGUCAGGCAUGGCGCGACCGUGUCUGGUGCCGCAGGGAAGCCGUGAAGCGAGCCACCUGGGAAGUACGGCCGCAAGGCUGAAACUUAAAGGAAUUGGCGGGGGAGCACAACAACGGGUGGAGCCCUGCGGUUUAAUUGGACUCAACGCCGGACAACUCACCGGGGGCGACAGCAAUAUGUAGGCCAAGCUGAAGACUUUGCCUGAAUCGCUGAGAAGUGGUGCAUGG
rnacentral:rRNA from 1 species